GAUUACAUUUUCCUUCUCAAAAUGCCAACAGACAAAAUAAGCCUAUCAGGAGCCUUCAGAAGAAAAUAAGGAAACGUCUGAAGAUGCUGAUCUAGGAAUGACAGAAAAUAACAAUGAGUUCCUGAAAAACUGCGUCUUGUGGACUUGAGAUACAAACGUACUGGAGAAACCAAAACUACAUGAGUAGAGAAGACCUCAAAUGGCCAGUGUGAUCUGUUAACAGUCUAUAUACACCUUAUAUACAUAUGACUGUUUGAGAGCCUGUAUUCAUGAAUGUGUACAGUCUACAUGCUGCACAAAGUUAAUUUGCUUGAGGUUUUUUUUCUUUAAAUCGUUUUUUUUUUUUAAACUACUGUUGGAAACAAGGAGAACAACCUUGGGGCGGCACGGAAAACGUGUGGUUACUGGAUUUAGUCUUACCCUCCUAGUGCCACUGCUCAUUAACCAUGAACCGAUUUUGCAAAUCUGUCAUUCAACACAUAAAGCAGAUGUUAAGGAAAUGAGCUGACUGAACAGGACAAAACUUGGGACCUUAAAUGCUCUGGCACUCCUCUCGUCAGGCUACAAACCAG